rnacentral:rRNA from 1 species
CCUACGGGAGGCAGCAGUGAGGAAUAUUGGUCAAUGGACGAGAGUCUGAACCAGCCAAGUAGCGUGAAGGAUGACUGCCCUAUGGGUUGUAAACUUCUUUUAUAUGGGAAUAAAAUGUUCCAUGUGUGGGAUUUUGUAUGUACCAUAUGAAUAAGGAUCGGCUAACUCCGUGCCAGCAGCCGCGGUAAUACGGAGGAUCCGAGCGUUAUCCGGAUUUAUUGGGGUUAAAGGGAGCGUAGGUGGAUUGUUAAGUCAGUUGUGAAAGUUUGCGGCUCAACCGUAAAAUUGCAGUUGAAACUGGCAGUCUUGAGUACGGUAGAGGUGGGCGGAAUUCGUGGUGUAGCGGUGAAAUGCUUAGAUAUCACGAAGAACACCGAUUGCGAAGGCAGUUCACUGGACUGCAACUGACACUGAGGCUCGAAAGUGUGGGUAUCAAACAGGAUUAGAUACCCCUGUAGUC